ACCUCUCUUAUCUGAUUUUUUUGCUGCCCCAAAAGUCUUCACACUUUACUCAUUUUCUUGGCUGCAUCAGAUCAGAAGUCCAGCCCCUCUCUCACUACUCCUUUUCCUCUUUCUUUGUUCUUCUUUCUCUCUUCUUCUGUUGCUUCUACACGGCAGCCCUCCCUUUCUCACCAACACAAUACAUUCCUCUCUAAAGAUGAAAUUAAACAAUUAACCCUAAGGUUUCAGCUUCAAAUUGUGGUGGGUGUUACCAGUAUCCAAGUCUAAGCUCCUUCGACUUUAGGCUCUCGGUUCCUCUGCUUUCAGUUAGCAGGUUUUAUUUUGGAGCAGAGGGAGCCUUAGUCGAGUUUUGGAAGGAGCUGGUUUAGUUUUAUAUGUAUAGAUCCUAAAUUAACAUUCUGACGUUUAGCUUUAUAGUUAUUGUGUAUUUUAGGAUCAAAUGAAAGUUGUGUAUACCUUAAAGUAUCAAGCUAUGUAUUAUGUAAAAGUGUGGAAAUUAAAUGAUUGGUGGAUUAUGUUA